UUGGCUCAGGACGAACGCUGGCGGCAGGCCUAACACAUGCAGUGUCGAGCGGAUGAGGGAGCUUGCUCCUGGAUUCAGCGGCGGACGGGUGAGUAAUGCCUAGGAAUCUGCCUGGUAGUGGGGGAUAACGUCAUCAGAUGGCGCUGGACCGAAUACGUCCUGAGGGAGAAAGUGGGGGAUCUUCGGACCUCACGCUAUCAGAUGAGCCUAGGUCGGAUUAGCUAGUUGGUGGGGUAAAGGCCUACCAAGGCGACGAUCCGUAACUGGUCUGAGAGGAUGAUCAGUCACACUGGAACUAAACGC
rnacentral:rRNA from 1 species